UAGGUGGGAGGCUUUGAAGUGUGGACGCCAGUCUGCAUGGAGCCGACCUUGAAAUACCACCCUUUAAUGUUUGAUGUUCUAACGUGGGCCCCUUACCGGGGUUGCGGACAGUGUCUGGUGGGUAGUUUGACUGGGGCGGUCUCCUCCUAAAGAGUAACGGAGGAGCACGAAGGUUGGCUAAUCCUGGUCGGACAUCAGGAGGUUAGUGCAAUGGCAUAAGCCAGCUUGACUGCGAGCGUGACGGCGCGAGCAGGUGCGAAAGCAGGUCAUAGUGAUCCGGUGGUUCUGAAUGGAAGGGCCAUCGCUCAACGGAUAAAAGGUACUCCGGGGAUAACAGGCUGAUACCGCCCAAGAGUUCAUAUCGACGGCGGUGUUUGGCACCUCGAUGUCGGCUCAUCACAUCCUGGGGCUGAAGUAGGUCCCAAGGGUAUGGCUGUUCGCCAUUUAAAGUGGUACGCGAGCUGGGUUUAGAACGUCGUGAGACAGUUCGGUCCCUAUCUGCCGUGGGCGCUGGAGAACUGAGGGGGGCUGCUCCUAGUACGAGAGGACCGGAGUGGACGCAUCACUGGUGUUCGGGUUGUCAUGCCAAUGGCACUGCCCGGUAGCUAAAUGCGGAAGAGAUAAGUGCUGAAAGCAUCUAAGCACGAAACUUGCCCCGAGAUGAGUUCUCCCUGACUCCUUGAGAGUCCUGAAGGAACGUUGAAGACGACGACGUUGAUAGGCCGGGUGUGUAAGCGCAGCGAUGCGUUGAGCUAACCGGUACUAAUGAACCGUGAGGCUUAACCUUACAACGCCGAAGGUGUUU
rnacentral:rRNA from 1 species